AACUUUCAACAACGGAUCUCUUGGCUCUCGCAUCGAUGAAGAACGCAGCGAAAUGCGAUAAUUAAUGUGAAUUGCAGAAUUCAGUGAAUCAUCGAAUCUUUGAACGCACCUUUCACCCUUUGGCAUUCCGAAGGGUAUGCUCGUUUGAGUGUCAUUGUACUCUCACACUCCCGAUGCUGUUGGAGCGCGAGUGGUUGACUUGGGCGUGGCUGCUUGACUGUUGCUCGACUCAAAUGGAGUAGUGCAACUCUUGGUCGGACAUAGUACGGCGUGAUAAGUGUCUUCGCCGGCGCCUCACUAGAGGGUGGCUGAUCGGGAGCUCUGUGCUUCAAACCGUCUUAGGACAACACUGACAACUUGACCUCAAUUCGACUAGGACUACACGCUGAACUUAAGCAUAUCAAUCAGCGGAGGCU
rnacentral:misc_RNA from 1 species